AGAGACUCGCUUGGGGUAAUUAGGUCCAACCCUGGGUUAAUUAGGCGCACCUGGGGUUAAUUAGACCCGCCCCAGGUUAAUUAGACCCACCCUUGCGGUAAUUAACCCCAACCUUGGGGUAGUUAGACCCAACCUUGGGGUAGUUAGACCCACCGUGUGUUAAUUAGAGCCAACCCACGUUAAUUAGACCCACCCUUGGGGUAAUUAACCCCACCCCUGGGCUGAUUAGACCUAUUCUUGGGUUAAUUAGACCCGCCCCAGGUUAAUUAGACCCACCCUUGGGGUAAUUAACCCCAACCUUGGGGUAGUUAGACCCAACCUUGGGGUAGUAGUUAGACCCACAUUGUGUUAAUUAGAGCCAACCCAGGUUAAUUAGACCCACCCUUGCGGUAAUUAACCCCAACCUUGGGGUAGUUAGACCCAACCUUGGGGUAGUUAGACCCACAUUGUGUUAAUUAGAGCCAACCCAGGUUAAUUAGACCCAUCCUUGGGGUAAUUAGACCCACCCCUGGGCUGAUUAGACCUAUUGUUGGGUUAAUUAGACCCACCCCAGGUUAAUUAGACCCAUCCUUGGGGUAAUUAGACCCAUAUUGCUUAAAUUAGACCCACCCUUGGGUUAAUUAGACCCGCCCCAGGUUAAUUAGACCCACCCUUGCGGUAAUUAACCCCAACCUUGGGGUAGUUAGACCCAACCUUGGGGUAGUUAGACCCAACCUUGGGGUAGUUAGACCCACAUUGUGUUAAUUAGAGCCAACCCAGGUUAAUUAGACCCAUCCUUGGGGUAAUUAGACCCACCCCUGGGCUGAUUAGACCUAUUGUUGGGUUAAUUAGACCCACCCCAGGUUAAUUAGACCCAUCCUUGGGGUAAUUAGACCCAUAUUGCUUAAAUUAGACCCACCCUUGGGUUAAUUAGACCCGCCCCAGGUUAAUUAGACCCACCCUUGCGGUAAUUAACCCCAACCUUGGGGUAGUUAGACCCAACCUUGGGGUAGUUAGACCCAACCUUGGGGUAGUUAGACCCACAUUGUGUUAAUUAGAGCCAACCCAGGUUAAUUAGACCCAUCCUUGGGGUAAUUAGACCCACCCCUGGGCUGAUUAGACCUAUUGUUGGGUUAAUUAGACCCACCCCAGGUUAAUUAGACCCAUCCUUGGGGUAAUUAGACCCAUAUUGCUUAAAUUAGACCCACCCUUGGGUUAAUUAGACCCGCCCCAGGUUAAUUAGACCCACCCUUGCGGUAAUUAACCCCAACCUUGGGGUAGUUAGACCCAUCCUUGGGAUAGUUAGACCCAUGUUGUGUUAAUUAGCCCCACCCCGGGUUAAUUAGACCCAACCCAGGUUAAUUAGACCCAUCGUUGGGGUAAUUAGACCCAUAUUGCUUAAAUUAGACCCACCCUUGGGUUAAUUAGACCCACCCCAGGUUAAUUAGACCCAUCCUUGGGGUAAUUAACACCAACCUUGGGGUAGUUAGACCCAGGUUGUGUUAAUUAGCCCCACCCUGGGUUAAUUAGACCCAACCCAGGUUAAUUAGACCUGUCCUUGGGGUAAUUAGACCCAUGUCUUGUGACUUAGGCCCACCCUUGGGGUAAUUAGCCCCACCCCAGAUUAAUUAGCCCCACCCCAUGUUAAUUAGCCCCACCCUGGGUUAAUUAGCCCCGCCGCGGGUGUAAUUACUUCCAGUGCUGUGUUAAUUACCCCUACUCUUGCGUUAAUUAACACCAUCCUUGCCUUAAUUAGCCCCACCCCAUGUUAAUAGCCCCACCCCAUGUUAAUUAGCCCCAGGCCAGAUUAAUUACCCCCCAGUCCUGUGUUAAUUACCCCUACUAUUACAUUAAUUAACGC